GAAUGUCGUAAGGUGGGUUAAUUAGCUAAGGCGGGAACUGGCUGUUUCACUUCUUUGUGGUUUUUUGGCUGCUCCAGACUUCUUGGCUCCUGCAGGCCACCUGGACGGAUAUGUGCAGGUCACAGGGGUUACAAUGGCUAAGCUUCGGCUCACAGGCCUGACAUUUUUGUCUUUUUAUUUAUAAAAUAUGAAGUUGUAGGAAAAGAUAAAAAAAAAAGUGUGUGAGUGGCGGUCUGAAUGGAGAAGUUCAAUAGUUCUGAUUGCAGAUCCUAUGCAGGAGAGAUAAUAAGGAAAAUAAUCUUUGUCUCCUGGAUUAAGCUGAGGCUGGCAAAGAGUGAAAUGUCCCAAGCCCUCUAACAACAAACGACAUACUUUGUGUUG
rnacentral:lncRNA from 1 species